rnacentral:rRNA from 1 species
UGGGGAAUAUUGGACAAUGGGCGAAAGCCUGAUCCAGCCAUGCCGCGUGUGUGAAGAAGGUCUUCGGAUUGUAAAGCACUUUAAGUUGGGAGGAAGGGCAGUUACCUAAUACGUAUCUGUUUUGACGUUACCGACAGAAUAAGCACCGGCUAACUCUGUGCCAGCAGCCGCGGUAAUACAGAGGGUGCAAGCGUUAAUCGGAAUUACUGGGCGUAAGGCGCGCGUAGGUGGUUUGUUAAGUUGGAUGUGAAAUCCCCGGGCUCAACCUGGGAACUGCAUUCAAAACUGACAAGCUAGAGUAUGGUAGAGGGUGGUGGAAUUUCCUGUGUAGCGGUGAAAUGCGUAGAUAUAGGAAGGAACACCAGUGGCGAAGGCGACCACCUGGACUGAUACUGACACUGAGGUGCGAAAGCGUGGGGAGCGAAACAGGAUUAGAUACCCUAGUAGUCCCUGAGCGGGCUGGCAAGGCGCAU